AUCGGUGCUUGCACCGAGAUUCAACAGCCGACGAGUGGCGGACGGGUGAGUAACACGUGGGUAACCUGCCCUUAAGUGGGGGAUAACAUUUGGAAACAGAUGCUAAUACCGCAUAGAUCCAAGAACCGCAUGGUUCUUGGCUGAAAGAUGGCGUAAGCUAUCGCUUUUGGAUGGACCCGCGGCGUAUUAGCUAGUUGGUGAGGUAAUGGCUCACCAAGGCGAUGAUACGUAGCCGAACUGAGAGGUUGAUCGGCCACAUUGGGACUGAGACACGGCCCAAACUCCUACGGGAGGCAGCAGUAGGGAAUCUUCCACAAUGGACGCAAGUCUGAUGGAGCAACGCCGCGUGAGUGAAGAAGGCUUUCGGGUCGUAAAACUCUGUUGUUGGAGAAGAAUGGUCGGCAGAGUAACUGUUGUCGGCGUGACGGUAUCCAACCAGAAAGCCACGGCUAACUACGUGCCAGCAGCCGCGGUAAUACGUAGGUGGCAAGCGUUAUCCGGAUUUAUUGGGCGUAAAGCGAGCGCAGGCGGUUUUUUAAGUCUGAUGUGAAAGCCCUCGGCUUAACCGAGGAAGCGCAUCGGAAACUGGGAAACUUGAGUGCAGAAGAGGACAGUGGAACUCCCUGUGUAGCGGUGAAAUGCGUAGAUAUAUGGAAGAACACCAGUGGCGAAGGCGGCUGUCUGGUCUGUAACUGACGCUGAGGC
rnacentral:rRNA from 1 species